rnacentral:lncRNA from 1 species
GGAGGGGGGUCACUGAAGAGAGUCGGAGAUGGAGAGCGCUUAGCACAGUCCUCUGCACCAAGUAAGCGCUCGAUAAAUACGAUCGAAUGGAGAGGGGAGGGGCAGGGGCGCGGGAGGGUCCGGGCUGGGUCACUGGGAGACGGGGAUGGAGAGUCAGGGGGACGGUUGGACAGUCCAUUCCUAACCACUCAGACGGGUAUCCAGGUAAUAACACGGAGUUAGUUCUUGGGAGCGUCCCGGUGCCUCUGGGCUGGCCACGCCGCUCACCUCCCCCAGCGAGGCGGUGACCGAGGCUUUGGGAGCCCAACUGGUUGAAUUCGUCGCUCCUCGGGGUCCGGCUGGUUCACACGGGCGGACUCGGUUGAAGGAAGGAUUCUCUCUCUCCCCCUCUCUUCCCGAGCACGCUAGAGGCCCGGCUUGGCGGAGGGGAUUCACCGAGCGCCGGAUAGCCGGACGGCAUGGCGCUGAGCGCUUGAGGGAGUGCGGUGUAGUAAACGCCCACGAUCCUUGCCCGGAAGGAGCUUACGGUGGUGAGAUUGCCACCGCGGUCCAGCGGUCCGUGCGAAAUGCUCGCCGCGUGCCGAGCGCCGUGCUAAGCGCGUUGGGGGUCUGUAAAGUCGAUCGAUCUCCCAGCGGUAUUUACUGAGCGCCUCCUGCGCGCGGAGCCCCGGACUAAGCGCUUGAGAGAGGAUAAUCCGACAGAAUUGGCCCCGACGAGUUUACGGUCUAAAACCCUCGUGACUUCUCCGUGGACCCAGAUUCAGGUAUUCCACCCUACGGAUGUCCAUCUGAUGCUUCCUCCUUCCCCUGCCCCGACUCUCUGUGAAAGAAUCUUCGGUCCGGUUCAUCUUCCCCGCGGGCCACGAGCCGUGAAUCUCACUUCUGCUCUCUUCUCCCGAGCGCUUAGCCCGGUGCGUGGCACUCGGUGGGCGUUCGGUGAAUGCUGUCGAUGGAUCCGCGGGAUUAGUCUCUCCCCGACGCCUCGUUGAGCUUCUCUCCUGGGGAAUCGGAAAGCGGUCGAUCAUACGUUCUUUCAUUCGAUCGUAUUAAUUAAACGCUUACACUGCACUAAGCGCCUUGGAAAGUACAAUCCGGCAAAAAAGAGAG